rnacentral:guide_RNA from 1 species
AUAAUGAUUUCACAAAAACAGAAAAUUGGGCGAUAGAUUUAGUUGUGAU